rnacentral:lncRNA from 1 species
UGGCUGUCUUUUUUUAUUUGUUGUUUUGUUUUCAUGGGGUCAUUUUGUCGCUGUGUCUUCCAGGUUGUUUAUGUCUAGUUGCUUGCACUUUUUGUAAGGAGCCUGCUUGAACUCACUUGGUAGUGUAGGUGAUGCCAUUGUUGAAGACCACUACAGUGACCUUUGGCUGUUGUUUUGUGCAUGUCCUUGUGCUGUUCUGUGGUGGGAUGAUAUAUCAUGUGUUUUUUUAUCCCCUAUCAG